UACGAAGGGGGCUAGCGUUGCUCGGAAUCACUGGGCGUAAAGGGCGCGUAGGCGGCCAUUCAAGUCGGGGGUGAAAGCCUGUGGCUCAACCACAGAAUUGCCUUCGAUACUGUUUGGCUUGAGUUUGGUAGAGGUUGGUGGAACUGCGAGUGUAGAGGUGAAAUUCGUAGAUAUUCGCAAGAACACCAGUGGCGAAGGCGGCCAACUGGACCAAUACUGACGCUGAGGCACGAAAGCUAGGGGAGCAAACAGG
rnacentral:rRNA from 1 species